rnacentral:ncRNA from 1 species
CUGGCCUGAUACCGAGUGUGAAGCUAUUGCGAGAUUUCUCCGGAUUUCCCGCAAUAGCUUC